UACAGAGGGGGCAAGCGUUAUUCGGAAUUAUUGGGCGUAAAGGGCGCGUAGGCGGCCUUUCAAGUGACGGGUGAAAGCCCUCGGCUUAACCGAGGAACUGCCUGUCAGACUGGAAGGCUUGAGACCGGGAGAGGUGAGUGGAAUUCCCAGUGUAGCGGUGAAAUGCGUAGAUAUUGGGAGGAACACCGGUGGCGAAAGCGGCGCGCUGGAUCCCUACUGACGCUGAGGCACGAAAGCCAGGGGAGCAAAAGGG
rnacentral:rRNA from 1 species